CGGAUACGCGGCAGCUGGCAGGGCCUCCGAUUCGACGUGCCGGCACCACUUCCGAUGACGCACGAGCCACCUGAGGUCGCGGGCGCUGCCACCGCGUCCGCUUCCGAGGGUAGGCGAAAGACGCAAAUGUUGCUGCCAAGGAUCGGGGCGCUUGCCCGCGGCCUCGGCCGUCCUCGCGACGCAGCCAGCCGAAGUGACACCGCCCGCCCCUCCUACCCACGCCUACGCUGCCGCUCCCCCGUGCCCCAAGAGCGCACAUCUCCAAGCGGCCUUUGCGGGAGUGACGACUGAAGAUGCAACAUGCGCAGUGAGCCGGUGCAUCUCGACGUCGUCUCCAUCCUUCGCUCUGCCUAAUCGACGCCGGAACAGGUCAUCUCCACCGACUGCAUGCCCACCAUAGAGGCCAUCUCCUCCAACCGUGCUCUCCACCGUCUCCUUUCUUGAUCCGAUCUGACUUCUGACCCUAGGGAACUUUUGCAGGCCUUGAGCUCAAUCCUUCUCCCCAUAGCUUCAGCGAUCUUAGAGAGACAAAGGAUAUGGUGUGCACUGAUAUAAGACGAGAAAUUAUUUCUAUAACACUUGAUCUUGGGUCUGCACUUGCUAGCAGAGAUGCAGCCAAAACAAAGCCACGAGCCUUUGUACUGAAUGUAAACAUACUCAGCAGAUGUGCGCCCAUCUUUUAAUGUGAGGACUUUGCGGCUUACAUUGCUAAUACUUGAUCCUCGAUAGCAAUGUUAUUUUCCUCCUUAUUGGUCAUGCCAAAAAAGUAUAGAGGGCGAGUCUGCACCAAUCCACCAUGCUCGAGUUACGGGGAUCACCUACAAUGCGAUGGCCAAACCUAUAUUGUAGGUUAAUUCACUUUUGAAUUUUUUGUGGGCUUUAUGAUUAAAUUAUCCUUAUUCAAUUGCACAAUUUUCAAACCAUAUCAAAAUGUUUGUUAACAGAUUCAUUGUGCUUUCGCUGGAAUCAUGGUAUCAUUUUACGACAGAUUUAUGUUCUGUCAUACUAUAUGUAGGCAAUUGGUAUGAUUCUUUUUAAGUCGAAAGUGUCGGUGCGGAGCUAGGAGAAAAUACAUACAUUCUAGAAUGUUUGAUUCCCUUUUUAGAAUUACAUGUCAUUUGGAGAGCAUACAUUGUUUAUAAAUUGUAUUUGUAUAGAACCAGUUCUUUGCAUAUGUGACUAAACUUGAUGCAGACUUGAUCCUGGUGCGACUUUUCUAUCCAAGAUAAUAAACCUCUGUUGUUCUUGUGCAGUUGAAGGGGAAUCAUGUACCGACAUAAUAAAUAUACCAAAUGAUAUUUCAUUGACAAGCCACAUAUAAAUCAAAGUCAAAAUUAAGCAUAUAUUAUGAUGCAAAUGUAAUCUUAUAUUAGUGUUCCCUUGAUAUUUCUUUUUUUGUAGCCUCUAUUGCAGUCUGCACCGCUGCAAGAAUUGAAUUAAUUUUGUUAUAUAUAAAUGCUAUAAUAAGUAUUUCAGAGCAUUUUUUUUUGCUGUUGGGCUUUAAUAUGCUGUUCCAUUUCCAAUGGAUAAAAAUGUUUGAGGCUACUUCCAAAUCUAUCCCUUGGUUUGGUACGGUCUAUUGUGUUUGACAGUUUUUCUUUCAGAUUUAUCUCUCCUGUUUGUGCAUCAGGUACAAGGUCUCACCAUGUUGAAGGCUACUUCCUGUUGUUCUAUUUUCAUUUUCAUUUUGUUAAUGUAUAUUUACUACCUUAUAAGGACAUGAGGUGACUCGUGGAUUGUA